UAGAUUAAGAUAGUAAGAGCGUAGGGUGGAUGCCUUGGCACUGAGAGCCGAUGAAGGACGUGAUAAGCUGCGAAAAGCUUCGGGGAGGCGCAAAUAGCCAUUGAUCCGGAGAUAUCCGAAUGGGGAAACCCGGCUGAGAAAAGCUCAGUCACUAUUAAGUGAAUACAUAGCUUAAUAGAGGGAACUCGGGGAACUGAAACAUCUAAGUACCCGAAGGAGGAGAAAGAAACAUCGAUUUCCUAAGUAGUGGCGAGCGAAAGGGAAAGAGCCCAAACCUAUAAACUUGUUUAUAGGGGUUGAGGACUGCAUAAGGUAUUCUAGAAGGUUAGUCGAAUGGUUUUGGGAAAGCCAACCAAAGAGGGUGAAAGUCCUGUAGACGAAAACUAGACAGAGCUGGCAGGAUCCAGAGUACCACGGGACACGAGAAACCCUGUGGGAAACAGGGGGGACCACCCCCCAAGGCUAAAUACUCCUCAGUGACCGAUAGCGCAUAGUACUGUGAAGGAAAGGUGAAAAGAACCCCGGGAGGGGAGUGAAAAAGAACCUGAAACCCUAUGUUUACAAGCAGUGGAAGGCCGUAUAUAUAUCAGGCCGACCGCGUACUUUUUGUAGAACGGUCCGGCGAGUUACAUUUGUUGGCAAGGUUAAGGACUAAAGGUCUGGAGCCGAAGGGAAACCAAGUCUUAAUAGGGCGUUGAGUCAGCAGGUGUAGACCCGAAACCGGGUGACCUACCCAUGUCCAGGUUGAAGUUACCGUAAAAGGUAAUGGAGGACCGAACUCACAUGUGUUGAAAAACGUGGAGAUGAGGUGUGGGUAGCGGAGAAAUUCCAAUCGAACCCGGAGAUAGCUGGUUCUCCUCGAAAUAGCUUUAGGGCUAGCCUUGAUGGAGUCUAAUGGAGGUAGAGCACUGAAUUGCCUAGGGGGCGUCAAAGCUUACCGAAGCAUAUCAAACUCCGAAUGCCAUAUAGAUGCUCAUCAGGAGUCAGACUGCGCGAGAUAAGUUGGGUAGUCAAAAGGGAAAGAGCCCAGACCACCAGCUAAGGUCCCAAAGUAUGUGUUAAGUGGAAAAGGAUGUGAGAUUUCAGAGACAACUAGGAUGUUGGCUUAGAAGCAGCCACUCAUUCAAAGAGUGCGUAAUAGCUCACUAGUCGAGAGAUCUUGCGCCGAAAAUGUCCGGGGCUAAAACACAACACCGAAGCUGUGGAAUUGAACAUAGUUCAAUUGGUAGAGGAGCAUUCUUAUUUGGGAGGAAGCUGUACCGUAAGGAGCAGUGGACUAAUAAGAAGAGAGAAUGCCGGAAUGAGUAGCGAGAGAGAAGUGAGAAUCUUCUCGGCCGAAUAUCCAAGGUUUCCAGAGUAAAGCUGAUCUUCUCUGGGUAAGUCGGGACCUAAGGCGAGGACGAGAGUCGUAGUCGAUGGACAACAGGUUGAAAUUCCUGUACCGCAUAUAAACAGAACUGUGGGGACGCAGAAGGAUAGGAGAAGCGGGGAAUGGAAAGACCCGCUCAAGCACAAAGGAUAGUCUGGUAGGCAAAUCCGCCAGAUGUUUCUGAAGUGUGACGAGGACCGAAAUUAAGUAGGGAAGUCUCUGAAUCUAUGCUGCCAAGAAAAGCCGCUAUUGUUUUAUAUGUGCCCGUACCGUAAACCGACACAGGUGGAUGAGGAGAGAAUCCUAAGGCCGACGGGAGAAGCGUUGUUAAGGAACUCGGCAAAAUGACCCCGUAACUUCGGGAGAAGGGGUGCCUGUAGAAAUACAGGCCGCAGAGAAUAGGCCCAAGCGACUGUUUAGCAAAAACACAGGUCUCUGCAAAACCGAAAGGUGAAGUAUAGGGGCUGACGCCUGCCCGGUGCUGGAAGGUUAAGGGGAGUGGUUAGGAGCAAUCCGAAGCUAUGAACUUAAGCCCCAGUAAACGGCGGCCGUAACUAUAACGGUCCUAAGGUAGCGAAAUUCCUUGUCGGGUAAGUUCCGACCCGCACGAAAGGCGUAACGAUUUGGGCACUGUCUCGACAACGCGCCCGGUGAAAUUGUAGUACCGGUGAAGAUGCCGGUUACCCGCGACAGGACGGAAAGACCCCGUGGAGCUUUACUCCAGCUUGAUACUGGGAUUCGGUAUUACAUGUACAGGAUAGGAGGGAGACUAAGAAGGUAGGACGCCAGUCUUGCCAGAGUCGACGUUGGGAUACCUCCCUUGUAGUACUGGAUUUCUAACCUAUACCAGUGAUCCUGGUAAGGGACAAUGUCAGGUGGGGAGUUUGACUGGGGCGGUCGCCUCCGAAAAGGUAUCGGAGGCGCUCAAAGGUCAUCUCAGAAUGGUUGGAAAUCAUUCGAAGAGUGCAAAGGCAUAAGAUGGCUUGACUGUGACACCGACGGGUGGAGCAGGUACGAAAGUAGGACUUAGUGAUCCGGUGGUAUAAAGUGGGAUUGCCAUCGCUCAACGGAUAAAAGCUACCCCGGGGAUAACAGGCUUAUCACUCCCAAGAGUUCACAUCGACGGAGUGGUUUGGCACCUCGAUGUCGGCUCAUCGCAUCCUGGGGCUGUAGUAGGUCCCAAGGGUUGGGCUGUUCGCCCAUUAAAGCGGUACGCGAGCUGGGUUCAGAACGUCGUGAGACAGUUCGGUCCCUAUCCGUCGUGGGCGCAGGAUAUUUGAGAGGAGCUGUCCUUAGUACGAGAGGACCGGGAUGGACGAACCGCUGGUGUAUCUGUUGUACUACCAAGUGCAUAGCAGAGUAGCCAAGUUCGGAAGGGAUAAACGCUGAAGGCAUCUAAGCGUGAAGCCUCCCUCAAGAUAAGAUAUCCCAUAGCGCAAGCUAGUAAGACCCCUUGAAGACUACAAGGUAGAUAGGUUGGAGGUGUAAGUGUGGUAACACAUUUAGCUGACCAAUACUAAUAGGUCGAGGUCUUAAUCUA
rnacentral:rRNA from 1 species